rnacentral:rRNA from 1 species
UGAUAGCAUAUCAAUAAACGGAGCAGAAGAAACCAACAGGGAUUGCCCUAGUAACGGCGAGUGAAGCGGCAACAGCUCAAAUUUGAAAUCUGGCUCUUUUAGGGUCCGAGUUGUAAUUUGCAGAGGGCGCUUUGGCGUUGGCAGCGGUCCAAGUUCUUUGGAACAGGACGUCACAGAGGGUGAGAAUCCCGUACGUGGUCGCUAGCCUUCGCCGUGUAAAGCCCCUUCGACGAGUCGAGUUGUUUGGGAAUGCAGCUCUAAAUGGGAGGUAAAUUUCUUCUAAAGCUAAAUACUGGCCAGAGACCGAUAGCGCACAAGUAGAGUGAUCGAAAGAUGAAAAGCACUUUGGAAAGAGAGUCAAAUAGCACGUGAAAUUGUUGAAAGGGAAGCGCUUGCAGCCAGACUUGCCUGUAGUUGCUUAUCCGGACUUUUGUCCGGUGCACUCUUCUGCGGGCAGGCCAGCAUCAGUUUAGGCGGUUGGAUAAAGGUCUCUAUCACGUACCUCCCUUCGGGGUUGGCCUUAUAGGGGAGACGACAUGCAACCAGCCUGAACUGAGGUCCGCGCAUCUGCUAGGAUGCUGGCGUAAUGGCUGUAAGCGGCCCGUCUUGAAACACGGACCAAGGAGUCUAACAUCUAUGCGAGUGUUUGGGUGUCAAGCCCAGACGCGUAAUGAAAGUGAACGGAGGUGGGAACCUUUUAGGUGCACCAUCGACCGAUCCUGAUGUCUUCGGAUGGAUUUGAGUAAGAGCAUGGCUGUUGGGACCCGAAAGAUGGUGAACUAUGCUUGAAUAGGGUGAAGCCAGAGGAAACUCUGGUGGAGGCUCGCAGCGGUUCUGACGUGCAAAUCGAUCGUCAAAUUUGGGCAUAGGGGCGAAAGACUAAUCGAACUAUCUAGUAGCUGGUUCCUGCCGAUCUCCUCGAGAUAAGAAAAAA